rnacentral:pre_miRNA from 1 species
UUUGAGAUGACAUACUUCCUUAUAUCCCCAUAUUAUCAAUCCAGCUAUGGAAUGUAAGGAAGUGUGUGGUUUCAGA